rnacentral:misc_RNA from 1 species
GACGAUUUCAUUCUGCUGCGACCGCAAUGUCAAAAUGGCUGCGGAGGAAAACAUGGUGAUCAAGCGAAGCAGUUCUUUACAACGCCUCCUUGCCUCCAUAAAACAACACCGAGAACGUGACAGUAAACGUAGUAGCUCCAACAGUUCAGAGGAUGGUUUUGUAGUAGUCAAUUCUUCAAAGGAAACCUUUUGGACUAGGAUAUUUUCACAGCAUUUUCUAGAAGGUGGAGGAGAUGGUAAUGACGCAAGAGAUGACAUGAUGUUUUAUGUGAAGAAAAAUUUAGGAGGAAAAAGUAGACUAACAGCUCAGGCUGAUAUAGAUGUAUAUAGAAAAGAUUCAAAAAAGCUUCCCACUUUAGGAGACCCUGCCAUCGACUGGGAGGAAACUGUGUACUUAAAUGUAAUUUUACAUCAAAUAGAAUAUCAACUUACCUGUGCAGUAUGUAGCAGAACAGGGGAUAAAGAAUUACAAAUACUCAAAAAAAUUAGCCAAAAAGUAUAUGCAUCUCCUAGUCGUAGGCAAAUGGAAAGUAAAGGCACAGAAGAAAUAAUGACAUACCCAGAUAUAUUUUUCAUGAUAGAUGAUUUUGAAGAGAUAUUUAGUGACAUUAUAAUCCGUGACAGUGAGAUGGUAUGUGUAGAACUGGUGGCCAGUGAUCGUAUGGGAGAGCACCAUGGAGUGAUAUUCCUGGGCUCAGUGCGAUAUGAUGCUCUCAGGAGGGUUUAUGAUACUAGGGCUAGUCUAUCCCACAGAAUGGCCAGUUCUAUGUCCCUAGGUUUAUUUAGUGGUAAUCGUAGGGUAGAAUUCUUAAAAAUGCGUGGUCCAGGGAGUAAAGGUUUUGCCGAGAUGGCAGUGAGCAGGGUGCAAGGGACAGGAGUAGACACACCUGCUUCAACACCAGACUCUGAGAAUUUCCCAGAAAAUGGCUUUGAAGAGGCUCCGAACCCACCACAGAGGCGAAUGAGUGAUCCUAGUCAAGCCAUUCAGUGGGUGAAGAGUAGCUUCAGGAGAGGCAUGAAAAAGUCCCAGUCAGCACAGGAGAACGUGGACGAUGUCAGCUCAAAUAACUGCCAAGAAGUUGAAGCUUCCAACUUACUAGAUGGUAAUACUAUACUGAAAACAGGCGUAGAACUUACUAAACCAGAUAACUACGGCUUCAUAGGGAAAUCAUUUGGGCAGGCCUGGCACUGGUUUAAAGAAAGACGGCGUGCAACUUCGCCGGCACUGAAUGCCUACCUCACUUAUGUCACAUUACCAUGGCACUUAAUUAUAGCUGAUGUCCUUGAACCUAGGCAACAACCUGUGUUGACAUUUUAAAUGGUGCUGUCAAAUAAUUGGUGCUUAUUCACGUGUGCAACUCGGGGCUAGAUAUGGUAUGCAUGUGUAGCAGAGAAGCUCUUCGUCAAAGGAAUGCUGGUUAGAAAGCCUGGCUGACCAGCGAGCACAAAAAGGAACUCAGAAAACCUGGGACCUGGUUGUAUAACUAUUGAAUGAACUUGGACUGGCAGAAUUCUGGAAGUUUUACCAGAUAUUGGUGACUUAUUGCACUUUGAUGAAGAGAAAAGUUGAAAAUGAAGAUGCGCAUUCCUUGAUGUUUGAGCACCGAAUUUAAUCAUUCCACAACAAAGAAAACUUUGUUUUCAUUUAAUUAUUGAAAAUUCCACAUCGUUUACAGAAUUUGGUUACCAUUAUUGGUAUAAUUUUUAAAUAUUGCCAAGUGCAUUCAAGUGAAAUUAUUUAUUUUUUAAGAUAUUUGAUGUGGCACCUCAAUUUGUAGGGUGGAUUUUAAGAUGGAUGGAUGAAGACUUAAUGUGGUUGGCCUAUGUUUAUUGUCCUUGCAAUUAUUAUUCUGUUGUGAAAAGUGGCUGUUUGUAUUCUGUAUUGCCAUUA